rnacentral:tRNA from 1 species
GAACCUCCUGGGGCGCGGGUUCAGGGGCUGGCGGAGCUUCCGGCUCCGGGGUCUCCGCCGGCUGAACUUCCGGCUCGGGCUCGGUGGGGAUUUCCC